rnacentral:rRNA from 1 species
GACGCACAGUUUAUACCGUAGCUUGCUACACCAUAGACUGUGAGUUGCGAACGGGUGAGUAACGCGUAGGUAACCUGCCUAUUGGAGGGGGAUAACUAUUGGAAACGAUAGCUAAUACCGCAUAACAGUAUGUAACACAUGUUAGAUGCUUGAAAGAUGCAAUUGCAUCGCUAGUAGAUGGACCUGCGUUGUAUUAGCUAGUAGGUAGGGUAAAGGCCUACCUAGGCAACGAUACAUAGCCGACCUGAGAGGGUGAUCGGCCACACUGGGACUGAGACACGGCCCAGACUCCUACGGGAGGCAGCAGUAGGGAAUCUUCGGCAAUGGGGGGAACCCUGACCGAGCAACGCCGCGUGAGUGAAGAAGGUUUUCGGAUCGUAAAGCUCUGUUGUUAAGGAAGAACGAGUGUGAGAAUGGAAAGUUCAUACUGUGACGGUACUUAACCAGAAAGGGACGGCUAACUACGUGCCAGCAGCCUCGGUAAUACGUAGGUCCCGAGCGUUGUCCGGAUUUAUUGGGCGUAAAGCGAGCGCAGGCGGUUAGAAAAGUCUGAAGUGAAAGGCAGUGGCUCAACCAUUGUAGGCUUUGGAAACUGUUUAACUUGAGUGCAGAAGGGGAGAGUGGAAUUCCAUGUGUAGCGGUGAAAUGCGUAGAUAUAUGGAGGAACACCGGUGGCGAAAGCGGCUCUCUGGUCUGUAACUGACGCUGAGGCUCGAAAGCGUGGGGAGCGAACAGGAUUAGAUACCCUGGUAGUCCACGCCGUAAACGAUGAGUGCUAGGUGUUAGGUCCUUUCCGGGACUUAGUGCC